UCCUACGGGAGGCAGCAGUGGGGAAUAUUGCGCAAUGGGCGAAAGCCUGACGCAGCGACGCCGCGUGUGGGAUGAAGGCCUUCGGGUUGUAAACCACUGUCGGGAGGGACGAAGAUCAAGUGACGGUACCUCCAAAGGAAGCACCGGCCAACUACGUGCCAGCAGCCGCGGUAAUACGUAGGGUGCGAGCGUUGUCCGGAAUUAUUGGGCGUAAAGAGCUCGUAGGCGGUGUGUCGCGUCGGUCGUGAAAACUUGGGGCUUAACUCUGAGCUUGCGGUCGAUACGGGCAUCACUUGAGUUCGGCAGGGGAGACUGGAAUUCCUGGUGUAGCGGUGAAAUGCGCAGAUAUCAGGAGGAACACCGGUGGCGAAGGCGGGUCUCUGGGCCGAUACUGACGCUGAGGAGCGAAAGCGUGGGGAGCGAACAGGAUUAGAUACCCUGGUAGUCCACGCCGUAAACGGUGGGCGCUAGGUGUGGGGGCCAUUCCACGGUCUCUGUGCCGCAGCUAACGCAUUAAGCGCCCCGCCUGGGGAGUACGGCCGCAAGGCUAAAACUCAAAUGAAUUGACGGGG
rnacentral:rRNA from 1 species